rnacentral:rRNA from 1 species
UAUCAGAUGAGCCUAGGUCGGAUUAGCUAGUUGGUGGGGUAAAGGCCUACCAAGGCGACGAUCCGUAACUGGUCUGAGAGGAUGAUCAGUCACACUGGAACUGAGACACGGUCCAGGCUCCUACGGGAGGCAGCAGUGGGGAAUAUUGGACAAUGGGCGAAAGCCUGAUCCAGCCAUGCCGCGUGUGUGAAGAAGGUCUUCGGAUUGUAAAGCACUUUAAGUUGGGAGGAAGGGCAGUAAGUUAAUACCUUGCUGUUUUGACGUUACCAACAGAAUAAGCACCGGCUAACUUCGUGCCAGCAGCCGCGGUAAUACGAAGGGUGCAAGCGUUAAUCGGAAUUACUGGGCGUAAAGCGCGCGUAGGUGGUUCAGCAAGUUGGAUGUGAAAUCCCCGGGCUCAACCUGGGAACUGCAUCCAAAACUACUGAGCUAGAGUACGGUAGAGGGUGGUGGAAUUUCCUGUGUAGCGGUGAAAUGCGUAGAUAUAGGAAGGAACACCAGUGGCGAAGGCGACCACCUGGACUGAUAC